GACGAACGCUGGCGGCGUGCUUAACACAUGCAAGUCGAACGAAGAGCGAUGGAAGCUUGCUUCUAUCAAUCUUAGUGGCGAACGGGUGAGUAUCGCGUAAUCAACCUGCCCUUCAGAGGGGGACAACAGUUGGAAACGACUGCUAAUACCGCAUACGAUCUAAACUCGGCAUCGAGGAUAGAUGAAAGGUGGCCUCUACAUGUAAGCUAUCACUGAAGGAGGGGAUUGCGUCUGAUUAGCUAGUUGGAGGGGUAACGGCCCACCAAGGCGAUGAUCAGUAGCCGGUCUGAGAGGAUGAACGGCCACAUUGGGACUGAGACACGGCCCAGACUCCUACGGGAGGCAGCAGUGGGGAAUCUGCCGCAAUGGACGAAAGUCUGACGGAGCAACGCCGCGUGAGUGAUGACGGCCUUCGGGUUGUAAAGCUCUGUUAAUCGGGACGAAAGGCCUUCUUGCGAAUAGUGAGAAGGAUUGACGGUACCGGAAUAGAAAGCCACGGCUAACUACGUG
rnacentral:rRNA from 1 species